rnacentral:lncRNA from 1 species
UUACGUGCUGCGCAUUCCAGCGCUUUGAUAGAUGGCUGGGCUGAACUUGGCCUGCACUGAGCCAAGGAGAUCAAAACUUGGACAGAGUCUUUGUUCUGUCCCGUGGUGUCCGCGACCUGGAGUAGCCAGCCUGUCCGCUCAGGGGCCCCUCUAUGGGAAGACAGAGCCUUGAGUUUGCAGAUAGAGCAACAAAGGUUUGCUUAUGGUGUGGUGGCCUCCCCUAAAAAAUAGCUUUUUUGUGUCAGGCUAUUUAUCAUGCGCUCAUGUCACCGACUCAGGGUUUGCUGUGGCAGUCCCGGCUCAGACCGCGCGCGGAGCUUGUUAUCUGUGAAUGAGUGCCCAGGCAAUAUUAGCCCUGCUUGUCGUAGUAAUACAUACCUGGCUGCAGAGAUUAAGUCAACGAUGAGCACAAGACUCGAUUGGACAGAAAACAACCUUCCUAAGGUUUUUGCUAGAACUUCCUAGAAACUUCUAGAACUGCCAAUGGCAACCUUGAUCCCCCCUGGAGAAUACCUACCUGACAAGGAAACCAAGAAAGCUGAAACCUUGGCCUAGAGAAGGAGGAGAAAUCCCUGAGGAAAUUGUUUGCAUUUCUGGAUGCCUUCAUGCUCAAAACAGCUUUGUCUCCCCUUCAUUAAGGAACCAAAUACUUUCCUUUGCUUGAGGUGGUUUGAAUUGAGUUUCUGUCACUUGAGGCUGUUGUGUCUACUACCACAAUCAAUAAAUGUUGACGGUUACUCUAACCA